GACGACAGGCAUGCACCACCACACCCUACUAAUCUUUUAAUUUUUUGUAGAGACAGGAUCUCCCUAUGUUGCCCAAGCUGGUCUCAAACUCCUGGACUCAAGCAAUCCUCCUACCUCGGCCUCCUGAAGUGUUGGGAUUACAGGCAUGAGCCACGGUGCACAGCAAGAGCUUUAACCUUAAUGACCAUUCAUUCUCUACCCCACAUUACCUACAACUGAUACAGGGUCUGGAGCUUUUCUCAGAGAGCCAGCUGUCUGACAGCCUCGGUGCAGCAACACCUCAUCAGACACACCAAGAAUUCCACAGCAUCUUCACAGCAGACUCUGGAGAGAUUCUGAUCUAGUCUUCAACCAACCAGGGGAAAUCCACGCUUGUGAAAACUUCCAGGCACCAGCAAUAAUUUCCCCCCUUCCCACGCUCCUCCCCAGUCUCCUGGGCCCUUUUCCAUCUUAGCUCUGUUUCUGCAGGAAGCAGGACAAAAAGGAUUCCAUUUUAAGCAAGUGUAGAAGAAAGAGCACAGACUCAGCACUCUUGGGACCUGGCUUUGCAGCUCGGCUCUGCCAAAAACAACGUUGGACAUUUCACUCAUGCUCUCUGAGCCUCAGAGUCGUCAGCUAGGUAACAGGAAUCCAUCAUUAAAACAG
rnacentral:lncRNA from 1 species